rnacentral:rRNA from 1 species
CAAUAGCGUAUAUUAAAAGUUGUUGCAGUUAAAAAAGCUCGUAGUUGGAUUUCUGGGAGGGUGCCAAUGUCCGUCGUCGUACGUGUUGCAGCGGCGCCCUUCCAUCCUUCUGUUAACGACUUUGGGCAUUCAUUUGCCGGAGUCGGGCUCAGAUAUUUUACCUUGAGGAAAUUAGAGUGUUUCAAGCAGGCGCACGCCUUGAAUACAUUAGCAUGGAAUAAUAAGAUAGGACCUCGGUUCUAUUUUGUUGGUUUCUAGAGCUGAGGUAAUGAUUAAUAGGGAUAGUUGGGGGUGCUAGUAUUGGCCGGCCAGAGGUGAAAUUCUUGGAUUCGGUCAAGACUAACUUAUGCGAAAGCAUUCACCAAGGAUGUCUUCUUUAAUCAAGAACGAAAGUUGGGGGAUCAAAGAUGAUUAGAUACCGU